GACGAACGCUGGCGGCGUGCUUAACACAUGCAAGUCGAACGGCAAGGCCAGUGCUUGCACUGGUACUCGAGUGGCGAGCGGGUGAGUAACACGGGGGUGUUCUGCCUUGCACUCUGGGAUAAGCCGGGGAAACUGGGUCUACUACCUGAGCUGAACUGGCUAUAGUGGGGUGGUUGGAAAGUUUGUUCGGUUCAAGCUGAGCUCGCGGCCUAUCAGCUUGUUGGUGGGGUAAUGGCCUACCAAGGCGUCGCCGGGUAGCCGGCCUGAGAAGGUGGACGGGGCCAUGGGGCCUGAGAGACGGAGCAGACGGGUAUGGUAGGCAGCAGGGGGGAAUCUUGCCCAACGGGCCGGAGCGUGAUGCAGAGACGCUGGGUGGGGGAAGACGGCCUUCGGGUUGUAAACCCCUUUCGACAGGGACGAAGCGGAAGUGACGGUACCUGUAGAAGAAGCACCGGCUAACUACGUG
rnacentral:rRNA from 1 species